GAGAGCCCUGGAGGUUGUUUGGGCUGUCACAAUAUAUAAUGCUUCUGUGAAAAGAGUGCAUUAGCUUAGGCACGCCACCUCUGCUCAGUACGGCUAAUAAAGUAUCACUGCCAGGAACUGGAGUUCAUAGAGAGACUCCACCUUUAUUUUAACACUGUCCUUGAAAGUCGCUUAAGAAGCUUAUGUAAGCUCUAUGUGCCCGCUGCUGACCAGAACCUAAAUCACCCUGGUUCUCUGUGCCCCAGGAUCAGGUGCACAGUGGGUUCCCCUCAGUGAUGCUGAAGUACAAAAAAAAAAAAAUCACAAAACAAAAAAAAAUCUCCGAAAAGGGCCACUUUUGGGUCUGACUGUCUGCUCCCUAUCUUUCUGUCUCUUUCCUCUGUCUUCUUCGUUUCCUCUCUGUCCCUGGGUAGCAUCCAAAUGACAAAAAAAGCUAGAUGAACCGCCUGUGUAACUCCUCUCCUGCUGGGAGGGCCUGCAAAAAUGAAAUAAGGUGAAGGUAAUCCAGGUAUUAAUGGCUUUCUUGGUCAGAGUGUGGCAGGCCCGGCUCUGCAAGAUGAAAGGGUGCUUGAAACCUGGUGCUGCAUUAACUUGGGGAUGAAGUGAUUAGUCAGCAGGCUGACAGCUGGGCUAGGAGACUGGUGCCAGAUUCCAAUGUAUGCUCUCCACGGCUGCCAAGUGUUUGCUUGUCGCCCCAGAUAAAUGGAGCAUCAGCAGUGUUUUAUUUGACCUGCUCACAAGAAAAAUAAAGCAACUCUGACUUCCUCGGUGUGUUUGUCAUUGACCUUGCAUCUGCUCGAUGGGAGCAGGGAGCCUCCCUUCCGAGGACCUGAGCUGGUUAACUCUUAGUCUGAUGGGUUCUACACCAAGGCCAAACAUUCAGACUGGAAAAAAAACCCACCUUCUGUAAAGAUAAUUGCCUUUAUGUUGGAAAGGUCUUAGUAAUGCAUCAUCUGGGGUAUGCAAAAGAGGGGCUUGUGAAGCUAUUUAAAAAUCCCUCCUGAUACUAGGAUAGCAAAUUAAAUGUUACAUGAGCUGCUUGAUACACAAGGAAGGAAGUUUAUUAGAAUAAUUUUUUGUUAAGUGUCAAGUGUCUGAGGCCAGAUUUGAACUCAGGUCCUCCUGACUUCAGGGCUGGUGCUCUAUCCACUGUACCACCUAGCUACCUCUAUUAGAAUAAUUUUUAAGAAGUAUUGACUUUAGGAUCAGAAAGCCAGAGUUCAAUUCCUGUCUUUCACAUCUACUAUAAAUAUAAAUUUAGCUGAUUUACUCAACCUCUUUGGGUCUCAAUGUCCUUAUCUGAAAAUGAAGUUUCUGGGGUCUUUUUCGGCUCUAGAUAUUUGAUCCCAUGCUACAAAAUCUGUGAACAGGUAUAAAUUAGGAAUAGCUACCAUACACUCCCAUAUAAUACUGGAUUCCAUAAUAUGAAGAGACACACCAUAUGGUAGAUUUUGAAUUUACCCAGUUCUUAAAGUAUUAGGGUCUAGUUGGAGAGAGUCUACAUUAGACUCAGAAAUCUCCACCCUUACCCCCAUGUAUUUUCUAUCUCAGCCCCCUGACCUGGACCUAAUUUCUCUAGGCUUCAGGUUACUCAUAUGUAAAAAAAGAAAACAACUGAAUUAGUUGACUAAGUCUGACUUUAAAUUUAUGAUUCCUAUUAUGAUCAUCAUCCAUGAAUUUAUCCAAAUUCUUAACUAGGUUUAUUCUUAAAGGAACUCUAGAUGGUCAUUCUUAAACUUUUGCUCUUUAAUGAGUUUAAUAAUCCUUGAUGCGAUAGAAUUUCAUCUGAACUAUUUUUUAUAUAUAUUUACUGAUGUUUUCAUUUUUAUAUUGUUAUAGUCUUCUAUGUAUUCAUUUCUCUCCCUUUUCUCAAGAAUCAUCCCACAUGACAAGAAUUUUUUUGUUGUUGAUUAUUUGGGGUUAUUGGGGUUAAGUGACUUGUCUAGGGUCACACAGCUAGAAAGUAUAAGUGUCUGGGGCCACAUUUGAACUCAGGUUCUCUUGACUUCAGGGCUAGUACUCUAUCCACUUUGCCAUCUAGCUGUCUCUAGAAAUAUUUUUCAAAGAGGAAAAAAAAGUCAGGAAAAAUUACCUGUACAUUGAAAAUAAUCUAAAAACAUGCAGUGUGUAGCACCUGUGGAUAUUCCACCCUCCAAGAAGGAAUAGAUUCGAAUAAAUUAUUCAUUAAUGAUAGUAGUAGGAAUGAUUCUUUAUUUUGUAUAUAGCACAACUUUUCAAAGCACUUUAAAAUCCAUCAUAUAAUUAAUCUCAUAAAAUCCUGUGAAGACAGGUAUUUUAUAACUAAUAUUGUUAAUUUUUGUUUUACAUAUUUUAUUAUAUUAUGGUGUUUAUUGGAGAAAAUAUCCCUUGUCCUCAUGAAGCUGAUGGUUUGGGAGAAUAGUAUACAUAUACUAACAUCUAAAACAGUCAAAGGUAAGUAGUAGAAAGAUAGAAAAUGACAUGUUGUGAAAUUCAAGGUGGAAAGAUUAUUAUUAAUGGGAAGAGAAGAGGGAGUUAGAGUAACAAUGAAGGUUUUGUAUUUUUAAAUUUAUUUAUAAAAUAAUAAUAGCUUUUUUAUUUUUCAAAAUACACGCAAAGGUAAUUUUCAACAUUCUCUCUUACAAAACCUUGUGUUCCAAAUUUUUCUCUCUCCCUUAGACAGCAAAUUAUCUAAUAUAAGUUAAACAUGUACGAAUCUUCUAAACAUAUUUCUACAUUAUCAUAAGGCUUUGUAUUCUAAAAGAUGGAUAGGAAUUUAACAAAUAAAGAGGAGAAAGAAAUAUAUUUCCAAUUAUGAAGUCAGAUUAAAUGCAAAAGGGUUAGAAAGUAGAAGACAUUUUGGGGGGGCUGAUAAUAGUCAAGUUUGACUGGACCAUAUUGUUGAAAAAAUAUGGUAGCACUAUGUAUUGUACUGGGCUUAUGAAGAAGCAAAAGAUGUUAAAGUCUCACUUGAAAGUCAGAAUUCAUGGGGUUCAAGAAAGAAUACCUGGUGAGGAAAUAGUGGUGCUUGAUAUAGGCAACAUUUUCAGGAGUUUGGAAGUGAAGAGGAGGAGAGAUGAAAUGGUAGAUGAGUGAGGCUGAAUAGCCAAGGAAUCAAGAAGUUUGAGGCACUGGGUAGUGGAUUAAUUACUCAAGAUCACACAGUUAGCAGGGGAAUUAAGAGAACCCAGAUCUCUUGAUUUGUACCCAAUCUAUAAGAAAGACAUUUCCCCUGUAAUAAUUGAUAGAAAUAAUUGGUCCUCUCUUCUGGCUUCUGUAGCAUUUUUUUUUUUUUUUACAAUCUCAUCUAGUGAAAUUUCUCUUGUUUUCCAAAUCUAUAAGGACCUCUCUUCUCCCAAUAUCCUUUCUCUUUUCUGGUAUUUCCCCAAACUACACCUGUAAAAUCUAACUCCUGGGUAUUUAUGCUAAAAUGGUAUAGAUCAUUCUAUGGGGCGGCCAUCAAAAAAAACUUUCUUUUUUUUAAUGCUCUUUACAGUUUUUAUUUGGUUGUUCUAACUUGUUCUUACAUUUCCCUUUCUCCUUUACAUGAAUCUGUCUGGAUUACUAAAUUACGAAAUAAAGUAAUGGUCUUGAAAAUGGGCAAAGUAUGGUGGGGAAUCAUAGAAAUAAGACAGCUUUCAGAUCUUAGCUUGGGAUCAUUUCUUACUCCUGGAAGUUCUUCUCCCAAUAUGAUCUCUGUCUGAAUAAGCAAAAUCCUGUUCUCUCUUGUGUCUAAAGAAAAUAAAGUGCCUCUCUGAAUAUCAGCAGCAUGUGGUGUUUAAUUUGCAUCUCACCAAGGAAUACCAGACACAAGGAAGAUGAGCUAAAGGGAUUUUUAAUGGAAACCGAAUUAUAGUUUCUGAGACACAGAGCUGUGGCCAGAGUAGAUCAAGCUGUGAUCUUGUUAGCUGUUAUAAAUUAAGUUGGGUUUAUUCCUUGGGCAGGGAAAUUCUAGAGGAAAACAUUUAGGGAAAUUAUAAUUCAGCAGGAGGCGCUGUUCCUAAGAGAUUGUGCAAGACUGAAAUUCUGGUGCAGUAUUGGUGGGAGGCUGAAGCUUAUGCAAUGGAGAUGCUCAAUAUCGGGAGUAAGAGAAUUCUGUCACAUUUCAUCCUAGCAAUGGCUGCUGGGAUAAAGGAACACAACCUGGGUCAGGUAAUGGACAUGGGCUUUGGAAGAUCCCCUUUAGCAUCUGGUUGGGAUAAAGGACCACAACCUGCGUCAGGUAAUGGACAUGGGCUUUGGAGGAUCCUCUUUAGCAUCUGGUUGGGAUAAAGUAACCCAACCUGGGUCAGGUAAUGGACAUGGGCUUUGGAGGAUCCCCUUAAGCGGCUGGUUCCAGGAACAUGGAGUAUUUAGGCUAGACUUACACUCUGAUCAAUCCUGAUGUGCAAUUGUCAAGCUAGGUCAUCUUGUGGGAAGUUCAUGACACCAUGGGAACAGAGAAGUAGAACUCAUUACCUUUCCUCCCCAAACUCCUCCCAUCUUUCCUGUUGUGGAGGGUAACGCCAUUCUCCCAUCCUUACAAACUAGGAGUCACCUUGGUUUCCUCAUUAUCAUAUGCAAUCUAUUACCAUUGAAAGCCCUUUAUAACCUAACCUCCUUCUACCUAUUAGUCUUCCUAUGCAGGAUAGUCUUCCUAUACAGUAUAGACAGUAUAGUCUUCCUAUACUGUACUCCCUGGCACAUACUUUUAAUUUUUUUCUCUGUAUUUUUAUUUUUAUU